rnacentral:rRNA from 1 species
AUUGAACGCUGGCGGCAGGCCUAACACAUGCAAGUCGAGCGAGCGGCGGACGGGUGAGUAAUGUCUGGGAAACUGCCUUAUGGAGGGGGAUAACUACUGGAAACGGUAGCUAAUAACGCAUACCAUCAGAUGUGCCCAGAUGGGAUUAGCUAGUAGGUGGGUUAACGGCUCACCUAGUCGACGAUACCUAGCUGGUCUGAGAUGAUGACCAGCACCACGGGAACUGAGACACGGUCCAGACUCCUACGGGAGGCAGCAGUGGGGAAUAUUGCACAAUGGGCGCAAGCCUGAUGCAGCCAUGCCGCGUGUGUGAAGAAGGCCUUCGGGUUUUAAAGCACUUUCAGCGGGGAGGCGUUACCCGCAGAAGAAGCACCGGCUAACUCCGUGCCAGCAGCCGCGGUAAUAC